UCGGGAUGCACCACUGUAUCCACCGUAACCAUUUCCUUGAGUCCCAUAAUUACCAGAGGCUUGUGACGGAUCAGAUCUCCAUGCUGCGUUUCCAUACCCUGGAUUGCCAUUGGCAUCACCAUAGCCACUUCCCAUGUAACCGCCACCACUCCCUUGUAAUUCUCCCCCACCCUGGUUACCAGCAUUACUAUUCGGGACACUCCCAGAACGCCCUCCUACUGCCCCAUAACCAGAGGGAUUGCCAUAAGAUCCAUCACUUCCACCAUACCCACCAUAGCCAUAACCUUGAUUCCCAUACCCAGUAGCUCCACUAGGAGAUUGACCAGCAUGCGCUGAACCAGGACCACCGCUGCUGCCACCAGCACCCCAUGCUGCAGCAUUCCCAUAGCCCAUGGCACCAUAACCAGUGGGAGUUUGUGUGCCCCAUGAACUUCUAGGUGCACCCGGUGGACCACUUGCAUAGCCAGCAUUAGGUACAUUUGGGUUCCCAUAGGGGGUACCAGCAGGGCCACCAUACCCAGCGUUUGUACCACCAUA
rnacentral:lncRNA from 1 species